GUGCCAGCCGCCGCGGUAAUACAGAGGGUGCAAGCGUUAAUCGGAGUUACUGGGCGUAAAGGGCGCGUAGGCGGUUAUUUAAGUUGGAUGUGAAAUCCCUGGGCUUAACCUAGGAACUGCAUUCAAAACUGGGUAACUGGAGUACUGUAGAGGGUAGUGGAAUUUCCGGUGUAGCGGUGAAAUGCGUAGAGAUCGGAAGGAACACCAGUGGCGAAGGCGGCUACCUGGACAGAUACUGACGCUGAGGCGCGAGAGCGUGGGGAGCAAACAGGAUUAGAAACCCUGGUAGUCC
rnacentral:rRNA from 1 species